GACGAACGCUGGCGGCGUGCUUAACACAUGCAAGUCGAACGAAGUGGCGAACGGGUGAGUAACGCGCAAUCAACCUGCCCUUCAGUGGGGGACAACAGUUGGAAACGACUGCUAAUACCGCAUACUGAAGGUGGGGAUUGCGUCUGGUUAGCUAGCUGGGGGGGUAACGGCCCACCAAGGCGAUGAUCAGUAGCCGGUCUGGAAGGAUGAACGGGCACAUUGGGACUGAGACACGGGCCAGACUCCUACGGGAGGGAGCAGUGGGGAAUCUUCCGCAAUGGGCGAAAGUCUGACGGAGCAACGCCGCGUGGGUGAUGACGGCCUUCGGGUUGUAAAGCUCUGUUAAUCGGGACGCGGUACCGGAAGAGAAAGCCACGGCUAACUACGUGCCAGCAGCCGCGGUAAUAC
rnacentral:rRNA from 1 species